rnacentral:lncRNA from 1 species
AAGGGAGAGAAGAAAGCAACCCCAGGAAGCCUGGCCCCGAAGACUGUGAGGUAUGGUGGGGCCUUGCUGUGCUCUGGACUGGACAAGAGGCACCCUGGGCUCUGGACACAGCCAGAUCUUCAGCCAAUUGCAUCUCCGGCCCAGGGCAGGCCCUUUAUCUUAUAGCCCAGUGGUGCCUCUCUCCUCACCUAGGAAACAAAGCCAACAGGAUCUGCACCACCUCUGCCUCCCGGACAUUGGAAGGACUAAAUAAGAUCAGAGACCUCAUUCCUAGAUGGAACGAGGAAUGGUAGCGACCACGAUCCUCCCCUCCCAGGAUCUGCGCCACAAGGGAAGAUCAGAACCUUCAGCUGCCAGAAGCACUGUGGCGGAAAUGUAGGUCCCCAUCCAGGCUGAUCUGAGCUUGGCUUUCUGGAGCACGCAAACCUCGAUGCACUGAACUGCUGCCGGACCUCACCUUGCCAGGCCCACUGUGCUCACACUCACACAUCGCUCCAUCCACUGGAGGCUGCAGAGGCAAGAUCCACCAAGAAGAUGGUCUUCCUGUCCAGGAUGCCCUUCCCUGAGAGAAGUGUAUUUAAUCUUAAAUUCAGAUGUUUGUUUGUCUACCCACUUAAAACACCCUGUUGAAUAAAAAUUACUCAAGGAA